rnacentral:rRNA from 1 species
AUUGAACGCUGGCGGCAGGCUUAACACAUGCAAGUCGAGCGAGCGGCGGACGGGGGAGUAAUGUGUCGGAACGUGCGCAGUAGCGGGGGAUAACUACACGAAAAAGGGGCUAAAAUCGCAUAUUCUUUGAGCGGCCGAUAUCGGAUUAGCUAGUAGGUGGGGUAAAGGCUCACCUCGGCAACGAUCCGUAGCGGGUUUGAGAGGACGACCAGCCACACUGGGACUGAGACACGGCCCAGACUCCGACGGGAGGCAGCAGUGGGGAAUUUUGGACAAUGGGGGAAACCCUGAUCCAGCCAUCCCGCGUGUAUGAGAAGGCCUUCGGGUUGUAAAGUACUUUUGGCAGAGAAGCGGUAUCUGCAGAAGAAGCACCGGCUAACUACGUGCCAGCAGCCGCGGUAAUAC